rnacentral:lncRNA from 12 species
CCAAAUUCUCCAAUCUGUUUAUUUUUAGAGUCUACUAAGUCUACUCGAUAAAAUUGAUAGUAGUUGCUGCUUUAACCCUAAUGGGUACAGAACCUUAAGGUGUUCUGCUCGGGUCUGAGAGUCCAGCUGCACCCAAAGGUGCUGCAGUUUGGUGCAGGUUCAAGCCAGCGUCUACGCGGGCUCGUUGCCCUGGAUUCUCUUUGUGAAGAUCACCACUCACACAGCCCCUGCUUAAGUCUCACACCAGCUUCACAAAGCAGCGAGAUGCUUCCUGCCUUCUGCUCCAGGCUCCGAGCUGAGACUGGGAUCAGAGUCUUGGAUGCGGCCCUGAGUCUGUGAACUGUUUAUGGGAAGCAAUUACUCCUUGUUUAAGAUGAGAACACGCAGGGACCAGGAUCCCAGUGAUCCACUUACUCACUUCAUGCAGAAGGCGCUGCUCGAGGAAGGAGCACCGUGUGGCCAGGCUUCGUGUGUUGCCCACAGGAGAGCUCUCGUAGUACUUCCUCUUCAAAAGUAGCUUUAGCACAUUCAUGUUAUAAAGUGCAAAGAAUUAAAGUUACUCUCUUUGAAACUUUGCAAUUCUCCUAAGAUGGCUCAAAAUACUUCAGCUAAUGUGUUGCUGGACUGAGUGAAGUCAUCGAUAGCCAACAGUGUUCCAGUUGGCUUGAUGACAGUGCAGCUAAUGUGACUAUUUCUUCUAAUGACACCCCGC